rnacentral:rRNA from 1 species
CUACGGGUGGCACCAGUGGGGAAUAUUGCACAAUGGAGGAAACUCUGAUGCAGCAACGCCGCGUGGAGGAUGACGCAUUUCGGUGUGUAAACUCCUUUUAUAUGUCAAGAAAAUGACGGUAGCAUAUGAAUAAGCACCGGCUAACUCCGUGCCAGCAGCCGCGGUAAUACGGAGGGUGCAAGCGUUACUCGGAAUCACUGGGCGUAAAGGACGCGUAGGCGGGUUGGAAAGUCAGGUGUGAAAUCCUACAGCUUAACUGUAGAACUGCACUUGAAACUUCUAAUCUAGAGUAUGGGAGGGGGAGAUGGAAUUAGUGGUGUAGGGGUAAAAUCCGUAGAUAUCACUAGGAAUACCUAAAGCGAAGGCGAUCUCCUGGAACAUUACUGACGCUAAGGCGUGAAAGCGUGGGGAGCAAACAGGAUUAGAUACCCUAGUAGUC